rnacentral:rRNA from 1 species
UGCCUAACACAUGCAAGUCGAACGGGAUCCUAGCUUGCUAGGUGAGAGUGGCGGACGGGUGAGUAACACGUGGGAAUCUGCCUUUUGGUUCGGGAUAACCGCGGGAAACUGCGGCUAAUACCGAAUGCCCUCGAGAGAGGAAAGAUUUAUCGCCAGAAGAGGAGCCCGCGUCCGAUUAGGUAGUUGGUGGGGUAAAGGCCUACCAAGCCGACGAUCGGUAGCUGGUCUGAGAGGAUGAUCAGCCACACUGGGGACUGAGAUACGGCCCAGACUCCUACGGGAGGCAGCAGUGGGGAAUAUUGGACAAUGGGGGCAACCCUGAUCCAGCAAUGCCGCGUGAGUGAUGAAGGCCUUAGGGUUGUAAAGCUCUUUUGCCAGGGAAGAUGAUGACUGUACCUGGAGAAUAAGCCCCGGCUAACUUCGUG